UACGUAGGGAGCAAGCGUUGUCCGGAUUUAUUGGGCGUAAAGAGCUCGUAGGCGGCUUAGCAAGUCAGGUGUGAAAACUCCAGGCUCAACCUGGAGACGCCACUUGAUACUGCUAUGGCUUGAGUUCGGUAGGGGAUCACGGAAUUCCUGGUGUAGCGGUGAAAUGCGCAGAUAUCAGGAGGAACACCGAUGGCGAAGGCAGUGAUCUGGGCCGAAACUGACGCUGAGGAGCGAAAGCGUGGGUAGCGAACAGG
rnacentral:rRNA from 1 species